CAACAAGAACAACCACGAACAAAAGUUGCAGCAUGCCAAACAGAUCCUCCUUGUGUGGCAUCUCGCGGGACGCAGCUUUCUUUUACUACAUUGAGACCUCACCAACGAAGCAAAGGCAUACAGGCAACGCCGCAAUGCCAAAGUGUGGCAGUAGGCACAACGGCUCCUUCAGUCUCUGGGCCAUUCUCUUCAACUCCUUUGAAGGGUCAGAGGCCAGCAAAGAGACCUCGCCUUGAAUUUGAGGAGGAGGUGGAAGAUGUUUCCUCUGCAUGCACUGAUCCUCAAGAUUCCACAUACGAUCCUGCACAGUCUGCUACAAUGGAGACAGAAUCAUCUCAGCUUUUUACAUCGCCAGUGACUUCAUAUGGCGAUGCAAAAUACAUUGUUUUUGAGCAAUGCCUCUUCAGCCUGUUCGAGAUCUGCCCUGUGUGCACAAGAACCUGUACAUUCCUGCCACGCAGAAGAGGAUCCUUCCUAGCGAUCGACCAACUAUGCCCUCACUGCAAGUUCUUCCGACAGUGGAAGAGUCAGCCAGUUAUUGGGAGCACCCCUGUGGGCAACCUUCAGCUGUCUGCUGCCAUUUACUUUUGUGGAGCUUCAUUUUCAAAGAUGAAAAAGAUAUUUGAUGCAAUGCAGCUGAGAACACACACGUAUGAUGCCUUCAGAAGACA